rnacentral:rRNA from 1 species
UACGUAGGGUGCAAGCGUUGUCCGGAAUCAUUGGGCGUAAAGAGCGCGUAGGCGGCCCAGUAAGUCCGCUCUGAAAGUCAGGGGCUCAACCCCUGGAUGCGGGUGGAUACUGCUGGGCUAGAGUCCGGAAGAGGCGAGUGGAAUUCCUGGUGUAGCGGUGAAAUGCGCAGAUAUCAGGAGGAACACCGAUGGCGAAGGCAGCUCGCUGGGACGGUACUGACGCUGAGGCGCGAAAGCGUGGGAGCAAACAGG